rnacentral:tRNA from 1 species
GGACCCGUAGCUCAGCUGGAUAGAGCAUCAGACUACGAAUCUGAGGGUCGGGCGUUCAGAUCGCUCCGGGUCCGCCA